rnacentral:rRNA from 1 species
CCCUUAGAUGUUCUGGGCCGCACGCGCGCUACAAUGGUCUUCGCAAACGGAUGCAUUCUCGAAGGAGGAUGCCAAUCUUGGAAUCUAUGCCUUGGUCGGGACAGUUGCUUGCAAUUUUUCGACUCGAACCAGGAAUUCCUUGUAAUCGUGAUUCAUCACAUCACGAUGAAUACGUCCCUGCCCUUUGUACACACCGCCCGUCGCUCCUACCGAUCGAAGAGUUAGGUGAAUUGUUUUGAUCGAUAAGAUUUGACUAUGGUCAACUCUCGUUGUGAAAUUCUGUGAAUCUGACUGUUUAGAGGAAGGAAAAGUCGUAACA